CCAAAGGCUCUUUUAAGAGCCACCUAUUCUUUCGAAAGAGAGCAGU
rfam:Scleropages formosus scaffold25948, whole genome shotgun sequence.